AAAUAUUUAAUCAAGGGUAAGAAUUUGCUACUCAUGUACAAUCUCUUUAGUAUAUUAAACUUAGUUCAUGUGUUUUGUUUGUUUGCUAGGUAACCUGCUUUGAUCUGUUUGC